rnacentral:rRNA from 1 species
UACGAGAGGCGCAAACGUUAUUCGGAUUUACUGGGCUUAAAGAGUUCGUAGGCGGUGCGGUAAGUGGGGUGUGAAAGCCCUCGGCUCAACCGAGGAAUUGCGCUCCAAACUACCACACUCGAGGGAGAUAGAGGUGAGCAGAACUGAUGGUGGAGCGGUGAAAUGCGUUGAUAUCAUCAGGAAUACCGGAGGCGAAGGCGGCUCACUGGGUCUCUUCUGACGCUGAGGAACGAAAGCUAGGGGAGCAAACGGG